rfam:Methanosphaera stadtmanae DSM 3091, complete genome.
UUUUUUUUCUUUUUAUGCCAUCUGGGGGAUGGCUAGGCUUGAGAUUAACUUAUGAAGGUCGUGGCAAGCUGCGAUAAGCCUGGGCGAGAAGCAUGCAUUCAUUGAACCUGGGAUUGCCGAAUGAGAUUCUUAUUACUCUUUACCGAGUAAUGAUCCACACUUGUGGAUUGGGAACCCACUGAAUUGAAACAUCUUAGUAGGUGGAGGAAGAGAAAACAAUUGUGAUGCCGUUAGUAACGUCGAGCGAAAACGGUAUAGGACAAACUGAAUCCCUACUAGAAAUUAAUAGGGAGAUGUGGUGUUGUUAAGAUUCAAAAUAUUUAUGGUGGCCUGUUAUUAUCCUUGUUUAAUUAUUGUUGGAAUACUUUAACCGUAGAGGGUGAUAGUCCCGUAGACUUUGGGGUAAUUUGGUCAUUUUUUUUUGAAUUCUUGAGUAGCGUUCAUUGGAAAUUGGGCGUGAAUCAAAUUAUAGGGAGGCAUCGACUUCCAAUUCUAAACAUUACUCAAGACCGAUAGUGUAUUUAGUACCGCGAGGGAAUGCUGAAAAGAACCCUUUUAUUAGGGGGUGAAAAGUACCUGAAACCAGAUGGUGACAGCCUGGCAUGGCAUGAAAGGAAUGAUAAUUCAUUGAAUUUCUUCUGGCAACACUUGAAAUUCUUUGUCUUUGACUAGUGUUGUGUCAUUCGUCUUGAAACACGAGCCAGGGAGUUUGUAGUUGUGGCGAGGCUAAAAAGCUUAAGCUUUGUAGUCGCAGGGAAACCGAGUAAGACGUAACUUUUUGUGUGGUCUUCUGAUUAUAAAAUGUCAUAGUCACAGCUUUAAAACCCGAAGCCGGUCGAUCUAUCCGUGAGCAGGAUGAAAUCGCUCAUACGAGUGAUGGAGGUUCGCAGAGUUGUUGUUCUGCAAAACACUCUUAUGACUUGCGGUUAGUGGUGAAAGGUCAAUCAAGAUCGGUGACAGCUGGUUCCUAUCGAAAUAGCUCCAAGGCUAGACUGAUUGGAGAUAGCUGGCAAGGUAGAGCACUGAUUGAGUGUUUAGGGUGGGAAACUACUCGGCAUUCUGUAAAACUCCAAACUUGCUAGCAUCGUAGAAGAUCGGAUCGAGGGGCGUGGGGUAAGCCUGUGUCCCGAAAGAGAAACAACUCAGACUUUGGUUAAGGUCCCCAAGUGCCGGAUUAGUUUAAGGGAGUCAUUAGCCCUAGACAGUGGGGAGGUGGGCUUAGAAGCAGCCACCCUUUAACGAGUUCGUAACAGAUCACCCAUCGAGGUUAAUGGCAUCUAAAAUGGAAGGGGUUAAGUCGGCCACCGAUACCAAUGAACAUAUACUUUUGUAUAUGAUUUCGUAGAUAGGCGUCCUGUUGGAUUUGAAGCUGGGGUGUGAAUUCCAGUGGAUCUUGCAGGAAUGUGGAUCCUGGUAGUAGUAGCAGCAAAGUAAAGUGUGAAUCUUUAUCGCCGAAGGGGCUAGGGUUCCUUGGCAAUGUUCGUCAGCCAAGGGUUAGGCGGUCCUAAGGGUAACGGUAAUUCCAGUUAUUCGAAAGGGAAACAGGUUAAUAUUCCUGUCCAACACAAUUUACACGGCAACGUUUAUGUUGGAUAUUUUUAACACUUCGUGAUAUGCCUUGUAAGAUUGUCGUCUUAUUCAAAUUUUAGAAGCUAAGGGAGAACUGUAAUAGUGAGAACUUGGUGUAUUUAUGAUUGAGUCUCUCGUUUUUUUGAGAGAUUAUCUGGUUGAUUCAUGGAGUCCUUGAAAAGAAAAUAUCCAUUUAUUUGAUUGUGUUUCCGUACCGAGAUCCGACACAGGUGCCCCUAGUUUAGUAGACUUAGGCGUGUUAGGGUAAACCAGCUAAGGGAAUUCGGCAAUUUAGCUCCGUAACUUUGGGAUAAGGAGUGCCAGCUACGUGUAGUAGCUGGUCGCAGUGACUAGGGAGGUUCGACUGUUUAAUAAAAACAUAGCUCCCAGCUAGCCCGUAAGGGUGUGUACUGGGGGCGACACCUGCCCAGUGCUGGCACGUGAAGCUGGGGUUCAACCUGGUGAAGCGCCAGUAAACGGCGGGGGUAACUAUAACCCUCUUAAGGUAGCGAAAUGCCUUGCCGGACAAGUACCGGCCUGCAUGAAUGGUAGAACGAAAUCUCCACUGUCCCUAGCUGGAACCUAGUGAACCUGCUAUUCUGGUGCACAAGCCAGAGACUUCUAUUGGGAAGCGAAGACCCCGUAGAGUUUUACUGCAGUCUGCUAUUGAGGCUUGGUUGCAAGUAUGCAGCGUAAGUAGGAGACUUCGACGGUAUGUCGUCAGGCAUAUCUGAGUCAUUCAUGAGACACUACUUUCUUGUGACUGUGUUUCUAACAUAGCUAUUUUUUUAGGUUAUGGACAUUGGUAGAUGGGCAGUUCGGCUGGGGCGGUACGCGUUUGAAAAGAUAUCAAACGCGCCCAAAGGUUGGUUCAAGUGGGACAGAGAUCCACUGUAGAGUGUAAGGGCAUAAGCCAGCCUGACUGUAUUUCGAACAGUAAGAAAUUCAGAGGCGAAAGCCGGGCCUAACGAACCUCAAUGUCCUCGUCGAUGGGGGCUUGAGAUGACAGAAAAACUACCUCGGGGAUAACUGGGUGGUCGCAGGCAAGAGCCCAUAUCGACCCUGCGGCUUGCUACUUCGAUGUCGGUUCUUUCCAUCCUGGGUGUGCAGCAGCACCCAAGGGUGGGGCUGUUCGCCCAUUAAAGGGGAACGUGAGCUGGGUUUAGACCGUCGUGAGACAGGUUGGUUGCUAUCUAAUAGAAGUGUUUUGUUGCUUGAGCGGAAGGUGGUUCCAGUACGAGAGGAACGAGCCGUCGGUGUCUCUGGUCUACCAGUUGUCUGAUAAGGCAUCGCUGGGCAGCUACGCACUAUGAUAAUAAAGGCUGAAAGCAUCUAAGCCUGAGGUAUUCCGUGAAAAUAAGCAGCUUUUUUAGGGUAUGAGUAGAAGACUUGUUUGAUGGGAUUGGGAUGUAAGCUUCGAGAUUCUUUGUUUUCGAGUUGUUAAGUCCGCAAUUUCCAACACCCGAUUUUAAUACAAU